rnacentral:rRNA from 1 species
UACAGAGGUCUCAAGCGUUGUUCGGAUUCAUUGGGCGUAAAGGGUGCGUAGGCGGCGCGGUAAGUCGGGUGUGAAAUCUCGGAGCUUAACUCCGAAACUGCAUUCGAUACUGCCGUGCUUGAGGACUGGAGAGGAGACUGGAAUUUACGGUGUAGCGGUGAAAUGCGUAGAUAUCGUAAGGAAGACCAGUGGCGAAGGCGGGGUCUCUGGACAGAUCCUGACGCUGAGGCACGAAGGUCAGGGGAGCAAACGGG